rnacentral:lncRNA from 1 species
CGGCGCCGGGUCGCCACGAUGACGACGACGAUAAUGAGUGUGGUGCGGUUAGCCCUGCUUCGGGCCGAAGGGCAAGGAACAGAGCGCACGACCGCUCGCCUGACGCGUCGUCCCGAGACUCUGUUGCCGCUGCCACCCUGGAUUCUCGCGGACGCUCACCUCCGCCAUCGCCGCGCACCACCUCUCGAGACAUCUCGAGAUCAAGACUACCAGCUCUGCCAUGGUCUCGCCUCCGCCAUUGCCGCGCACCACCGCUCAGGACAUUAUCGAGAUCGAGACUACCAGCUCUGCCAUGGGCUGGCUCUGUGGAACCACCGCCGGUCUAGAUGCCAGGAUCCAGCCGUCCUUCUCGCUGGAUGAUUGUGAGACGCGAGAUUCUUCGAUGCAGGCAAAGCCUGAGCUUGUGCUGGCAACACCUGAUGGGGAGAUCACCCCAGCUCUGUACCCAGGCAGCUGCAUCUUUUAACUCCUCUGGUGCGGUACUCUCGACGCCAACCCCUCCGGAUAUGCAACAAGAUACUAGCCCGGGCCUGGACCACAACAGUGAGGCAAGAUCUACACCCAUCCACUACUCCUCCCCGGGAUGCUUGACUGAAGACGCAGCUACUCCAAUCUUCAUUCCUCGCAUGCCGGCCCUGCUGCCGUCUCCCUCGCCAUGCACAACUCCCCCAAGACCUCCCAAGGCGAGACACAAAACUUUGGCAGGUGUCACUGGGUUCCAGUUGCAGAGACAAAGCCCACGGCUUCGGGCCAAGAAAAGGGGUGUGCCCAUUGCCAAGCUUGCGGAGCAACUUCUAUGCCACCGGAUGGGCAUCGUUGCUGAAGGCGAACAGGUCACGGAGACGGCAAUCAUCAAGUUUGCUAAUCUGUUCCAUGAUCGCCUUCCUGACAUUGCGAUUGCGGUGCUGCGUGCGCUGUUUCAGCUUGAUUGUGACCUCUCCACCGCGGUCGAGGACGCCCUGGUGCUUCAUGGAGGGGAAGGUGGGCCGGAUGUGAGCGAGCAGGCUGCUGGGGAUGCUUGAAGCUCCGUCUGCCGCUGAUGAUGUAGCCAAGUUUCUCAUGUUAGUGCACCCUAAUAGCCGGUCCUUAGUGUGGUUCUGUACGCCUGUUUGUGGUUGCGCCUGUGCGCCACUGAACUUGGGCCUGGCGAGACUGGUCGUCGCUGUAACUACCACGCCUGUUUGUGGCUGCGCCUGUGCACCAAUGAUCUGGGUCCUAGCGAGACCAAAUAUGGCUGUAGCGUUCAAGAAGUUAUGUGUUCCCCAUGUGGGUUAUGAGGUAGCUCUGGUUCCCAAAUGUUAGAAAACAACUUAUCAAUCCAGUGCUGGAAUGUGCGAGGGCUGAACUGCCCAAAUCGAAGAGCUACUGUCCAUGAGACCAUCGCUGCAUCCUCAUGUGUUCCGGUUUGCAUCCAAGAGUCUAAGCUUCAGAAUGUUGACCCGUUGUCGCUACCUACUUAGGUGGACAGCGCUUGAAGAAUUUUGCUCAACGGCCUGCCGACGGCACAAAAGGAGGAAACUUGCUCCUCUGGAACGAAUCCACUGUUUCGGUCACAAAUGUUCAAAUGGGCGUCUAUUUCCUCUCUGCAGCAGUCACCCUCAAGAAUACCUCGGUCCAGAAAACAUUCAAGCUAACUACGGUCUAUGGACCCACUCGCAACAACAACAAGGAUGCUUUCUUCCUUCAGCUAACAUCACAAAAACCUCCAUCACGCACAAGAUGGCUGGUUCAUGGGGACUUCAAUCAAAUAUACCAUGCCCGAGACAAAAACCGUGCCGAUGUGGACCGCAGCCGCCUCGUCCGAUUCCGAAACACCCUCAAUGCUUGCGAGCUCAAGGAGAUCCACCUUCAAAAUAGACGUUUUACUUAGAGCAAUGAACAAAACAAUCCAACACAAUGCAAACUCGAUAGCUUCU